GUGCCAGCAGCCGCGGUAAUACCGGCAGCCCAAGUGAUGGCCGAUCUUAUUGGGCCUAAAGCGUCCGUAGCUGGCCGCGCAAGUCCAUCGGAAAAUCCACCCGCCCAACAGGUGGGCGCCCGGUAGAAACUGCGUGGCUUGGGACCGGAAGGCGCGACGGGUACGUCCGGGGUAGGAGUGAAAUCCCGUAAUCCUGGACGGACCGCCGAUGGCGAAAGCACGUCGCGAGAACGGACCCGACAGUGAGGGACGAAAGCCAGGGUCUCGAACCGGAUUAGAUACCCCGGUAGUCC
rnacentral:rRNA from 1 species